rnacentral:sRNA from 1 species
GCUGGGCAUAGUGGUGUCCACCUGUAGUCCCCAGCUAUCAGGGAGGUUGAGGGAGGAGGAUCACUUGAGUCUAGGAGUUCAAGACUAGCCUUGGAAAGACAGUGACACCCUGUCUCAA